CUCCCGAGUCCUGGCACUGGCUUUAGGCCCCAACAAGAACGGCGAAAGAAGGGAUCCGCAGCAACAACGUUGCGCCGCCGCUCCGCCCGUGCGCUCCCCACCCCCGAUCCGCCCCGAGCCCACCAGGCCUCCGAACGCCGCCGUCGAGCUCCUCUGCCGGACACCAUGGCCAUGGACUAAAGCUCCGCCGGACCUUCCCUCGCGAGUGCCGGCCCUCCUCCCGACUAAAUCGGCGACGGCGACGAACGGUGAUGAACACAUGCCUACCCCCUUCUUAAUUCUCCCGGGCAGUCUGUGAUGCAGAUGCCGCCGCUGCCAUUCUUCCGCACAGCCGAGGACGCGAAAGUCGUUGUUGUCUGCAACUCAGCUGCCUCCAUCCUGUUGCCCUGCGAAGUUGAGGAGGGUUUGUUGUCCGGACAUCGCAUCCUCCUGCUUGUCCUCUACCACAGGGUCGUUGCCAUCUUCAGUCACCACGGCCACCUCUGCCAUGUCCUCUACCACGGGUUCAAUAGGGGCAUACCACCGCAUGUCCUCUUCACAUGAUAG
rnacentral:rRNA from 1 species